rnacentral:antisense_RNA from 1 species
UUCAAUGGUGGUGCGUAAUGGGAAAGGUUCGCCCUUUGCUGAUUUUCCUUUGGUAUCAGUUUCUCAGCCCGUUACGCACUACCGCCCAA